CAGCACAGCCCGCAGCCCCCCGGCCGCCCCAGUCAUUCCGGACUGGGGCCCGAUCCCCCCUCCUCCAGCCCCGGGCUCCGCAGCUGCCCAGAUGUGGCAGCACAGCUGGAGGAGCGGCAGCAGGGGGAGGCUGGGUUAUCUCUCCGUGCUGAGAAGCCCCUGGGAAACCUCCUGGAAGGGCCCUGCAUCCACCCUGCACACUCCUGUCCUGCAGCAUGGGGCUGUCCCCUGGGCAGGCAGCACAAUGGGCUGGGGGUUGGUUCAAACCCCCCUGGGUCUCUGUCCCUGGAGCUCAGCUCAAGUUGGGACCCUCCAGCAGCUCCCAUGUGGUGGCAGGUAAGGUGGGGGGGUGUGUCAGGUUGUUUGUGUGUUGGGGGGCAGGGGUCCAAGCAGCUUCUUUCCAGGACACACACCCCAUUUGGGGAAGAGUUGGUGCAUGCUGGGUCGGCUGGUUCCAAAAGACCUCUCUGGGGCGGGUUGGGAAUCACAGGCAUUGCCUCAAACAGUCAGUACGUGUGUGUGUGUGUGUGUGUGUGUGUGUUGUUUCCUGGCAAGGUGCAAAUCCUGCCUUUGGCUGCAGUGAUGUUGUGUGUGGAUUUACCGGGCGAUGCUCAUGGCUGGCAGCCCAGCUCCUUCCCCAUGGACAAUUUUCAAGGACUUCCCUUUACAGCUGAGACCGGCCAGCUCGUGCCACCAGUGGGGUGUUUGACAUGCCCACACCAGCCGGGCUCAGCCCCCGGCUCUGCUUGGCCACUCUGGAAGCAUCAGGCCACGGGCACCCGGGAGGCUGUUUUAGCUGAACUCCAAACAAUAAAAACUUAUCAUUAAAAAGAAA